GACAGAGGGUGCAAACGUUGCUCGGAAUCACUGGGCGUAAAGGGCGUGUAGGCGGGACGGUAAGUCGGGGCGUGAAAUCCCUAGGCUCAACCUAGGAACUGCACUCGAAACUACCAUUCUUGAGUGUCGGAGAGGAAAGCGGAAUUCCUGGUGUAGAGGUGAAAUUCGUAGAUAUCAGGAGGAACACCAGUGGCGAAGGCGGCUUUCUGGACGAUAACUGACGCUGAGACGCGAAAGCGUGGGGAGCAAACAGG
rnacentral:rRNA from 1 species